AACUUUCGGCAAUGGAUCACUUGGUUCUGGCAUCGAUGAAGAACGCAGCGAAAUGCGAUAAGUAAUGUGAAUUGCAGAAUUCAGUGUAUCAUCGAAUCUUUGAACGCACAUUGCGCCCCCUGGUAUUCCGGGGGGCAUGCCUGUCCGAGCGUCAUUACAACCCUCAAGCCUAGCUUGGUGUUGGGCUCCGCCGCCUGGCGGGCCCUAAAGUCAGUGGCGGUGCCGUCCAGCUCCGAGCGUAGUAAUUCUUCUCGCUCUGGAGGCCUGGGCGCGUGCUUGCCAGCAACCCCCCAAUUUUAUCAGGUUGACCUCGGAUCAGGUAGGGAUACCCGCUGAACUUAAGCAUAUCAAUAAGCGGAGGCU
rnacentral:misc_RNA from 1 species